GAUGAACGCUAGCGGCAGGCCUAAUACAUGCAAGUCGAACGGGUGGUCGCAAGACCACUAGUGGCGCACGGGUGCGUAACGCGUAACCAACCUGCCCCGAUCUGGGGGAUAGCCCGCCGAAAGGCGGAUUAAUACCGCAUAUACCCGCAGCCUGGCAUCAGGCAACGGGGAAAGAUUUAUUGGAUCGGGAUGGGGUUGCGUGACUUUAGCUAGUUGGCGGGGUAAGGGCCCACCAAGGCGACGAUGUCUAGGGGACCUGAGAGGGUGAUCCCCCACACUGGCACUGAGAUACGGGCCAGACUCCUACGGGAGGCAGCAGUAGGGAAUAUUGGGCAAUGGGCGAGAGCCUGACCCAGCCAUGCCGCGUGCCGGAUGAAGGCCUUCUGGGUUGUAAACGGCUUUUCUCAGGGAAGAAAAAGACCUUGCGAGGUACACUGACGGUACCUGAGGAAUAAGCACCGGCUAACUCCGUG
rnacentral:rRNA from 1 species